rnacentral:lncRNA from 1 species
UUAAUGUACACAAAUUAGGCUGUUAGAUUUCUCGUUUGAAUCGUUUUAAAUUUGUCAUUUCGGGCCUAUUAUAGCUAACUAUGCAAAAUGGGGUUUGUUCAUUGUUGAAGGCCGUACGUUGACCUAUAAUAGUUUUUAAUUUCUGUGUCAUUUGAUCUCUUGUGGAGAGUUGUCUCAGUGGCAAUCAUACCACAUCUUCUUUUUUAUAAGCAAGCAAGUAAGCAAGCAAGCAAUCAAGCAAUCAAGCAAGCAAACAAUCAAGAAAGCAAAAUAUGUUGUAAAAUAAAAAAACAGACUAAAAAAUAUACAACA